rnacentral:rRNA from 1 species
AGCGGUAAAAUGCUCCGGAGAUCGGAUAGAACUCCAAUGAGCGAAGGGCAGCUCCCGGGGGGCAACCCCGACGUUAAGAGACGAAAGCUAGGGGAGAGAACAAGAUUAGAGACCGUGAUAGUCUCUUCCCUAAACGAUUGAUGUUGGAUGUGGGGGCCUUAUCGCUCCGUGUCGAAGAGAACGCGUGAAGCAUUCCCGCCUGGAGGACUACGGCCGCAAGGUUAAAAUUCAAACGAAUUGACGGGACUUUGCCCAAGCAGCGGAGCGUGUGGUUUUAAUUCGAUGCUACACCAAGAACUUUACCUGGGUUUGACAUCUAGGUGGUAGUGAAGCGAAAGCGGAGCGACCCUUCGGGGAGCCUAGACAGGUGCUGCAUGACUGUCGUCUGCUCGUGCCGUGAGGUGUCGGGUAAAGUCCCGUUACGACCGCAACCCUUGCUCUCCGUUAUACGUGUCAGAGGGGACUGCCGGCGGUAAGCCGGAGGAAGGUGGGGAUGACGUCAAGUCAGCAUGGCCUUUAUAUCCAGGGCUACACACACGCUACAAUGCCCAGUACAAAGGGCAGCGAAGCCGUGAGGUGGAGCGAAUAUCAGCAAAGCUGGUCGUAGUUCGGAUCACAGGCUGCACCCCGCCUGCAUGAAGCUGGAGUUGCUAGUAGCCGCGCGUCACCCAUAGUGCGGUGAAUACGUUCCCGGGGUUUGUACACACCGCCCGUCACGUCAUGGGAGUCGAUAACUCCUGAAGCCGAAGCCUAGCUCGGAAGAGAGUUCCCUGUCUAAGGCGGGGUCGGUGACUGCGAUGAA